UUGACCUCGAAUCAGGUAGGAAUACCCGCUGAACUUAAGCAUAUCAAUAAGCGGAGGAAAAGAAACCAACAGGGAUUGCCCCAGUAACGGCGAGUGAAGCGGCAACAGCUCAAAUUUGAAAUCUGGCUCUCGGGCCCGAGUUGUAAUUUGUAGAGGAUGCUUUUGGUGAGGUGCCUUCCGAGUUCCCUGGAACGGGACGCCAUAGAGGGUGAGAGCCCCGUCUGGUUGGACACCGAUCCUCUGUAAAGCUCCUUCGACGAGUCGAGUAGUUUGGGAAUGCUGCUCUAAAUGGGAGGUAUAUGUCUUCUAAAGCUAAAUACCGGCCAGAGACCGAUAGCGCACAAGUAGAGUGAUCGAAAGAUGAAAAGAACUUUGAAAAGAGAGUUAAACAGUACGUGAAAUUGUUGAAAGGGAAGCGCUUGUGACCAGACUUGGGCUUGGUUGAUCAUCCGGGGUUCUCCCCGGUGCACUCUUCCGGCUCAGGCCAGCAUCAGUUCGCCCUGGGGGAUAAAGGCUUCGGGAAUGUGGCUCUCU
rnacentral:rRNA from 1 species